rnacentral:rRNA from 1 species
UGGGGAAUAUUGCACAAUGGGCGCAAGCCUGAUGCAGCCAUGCCGCGUGUGUGAAGAAGGCCUUCGGGUUGUAAAGCACUUUCAGCGAGGAGGAAGGUGGUGAGCUUAAUACGCUCAUCAAUUGACGUUACUCGCAGAAGAAGCACCGGCUAACUCCGUGCCAGCAGCCGCGGUAAUACGGAGGGUGCAAGCGUUAAUCGGAAUUACUGGGCGUAAAGCGCACGCAGGCGGUUUGUUAAGUCAGAUGUGAAAUCCCCGGGCUCAACCUGGGAACUGCAUUUGAAACUGGCAAGCUAGAGUCUCGUAGAGGGGGGUAGAAUUCCAGGUGUAGCGGUGAAAUGCGUAGAGAUCUGGAGGAAUACCGGUGGCGAAGGCGGCCCCCUGGACGAAGACUGACGCUCAGGUGCGAAAAGCGUGGGGAGCAAAACAGGAUUAGAUACCCUGGUAGUCCACGCUGUAAACGAUGUCGAUUUUGGAGGUUGUGCCCUUGAGGCGUGGCUUCCGGAGCUAACGCGUUAAAUCGACCGCCUGGGGAGUACGGCCGCAAGGUUAAAACUCAAAGGAAUUG